rnacentral:rRNA from 1 species
AUUGAACGCUGGCGGCAGGCCUAACACAUGCAAGUCGAACGAGUGGCGGACGGGUGAGUAAUGUCUGGGAUACUGCCUGUUGGAGGGGGAUAACUACUGGAAACGGUCUCUAAUCCCGCAUAACAUCACAUGUGCCCAGAUGGGAUGAGCUUGGUGGUGGGGUAACGGCUCACAAAGGCGACGAUCCCUAGCUGGUCUGAGAGGAUGACCAGCCACACUGGAACUGAGACACGGUCCAGACUCCUACGGGAGGCAGCAGUGGGGAAUAUUGCACAAUGGGCGCAAGCCUGAUGCAGCCAUGCCGCGUGUAUGAAGAAGGCCUUCGGGUUGUAAAGUACUUUCAGCGGGGAGGCGUUACCCGCAGAAGAAGCACCGGCUAACUCCGUGCCAGCAGCCGCGGUAAUAC